rnacentral:rRNA from 1 species
GGGGAAUUUUGGACAAUGGGCGAAAGCCUGAUCCAGCCAUGCCGCGUGAGUGAAGAAGGCCUUCGGGUUGUAAAGCUCUUUCAGCCGGAAAGAAAUCGCGCAGGAUAAUACUCUGCGUGGAUGACGGUACCGGAAGAAGAAGCACCGGCUAACUACGUGCCAGCAGCCGCGGUAAUACGUAGGGUGCGAGCGUUAAUCGGAAUUACUGGGCGUAAAGCGUGCGCAGGCGGUUAUGUAAGACAGAUGUGAAAUCCCCGGGCUCAACCUGGGAACUGCGUUUGUGACUGCAUAACUAGAGUACGGCAGAGGGAGGUGGAAUUCCGCGUGUAGCAGUGAAAUGCGUAGAUAUGCGGAGGAACACCGAUGGCGAAGGCAGCCUCCUGGGCCAGUACUGACGCUCAUGCACGAAAGCGUGGGGAGCAAAC